rnacentral:misc_RNA from 1 species
GAAAUGCGAUCAGUAAUGUGAAUUGCAGAAUUCAGUGAAUCAUCGAAUCUUUGAACGCACCUUGCGCUCCUUGGUAUUCCUUGGAGCAUGCCUGUUUGAGUAUCAUGAAAUCUUCAAAGUAAAUCUUUUGUUAACUCAAUUGGUUUCUACUUUGGUAUUGGAGGUCUUUGCAGCUUCACACCUGCUCCUCUUUGUUCAUUAGCUGGAUCUCAGUGUUAUGCUUGGUUCCACUCGGCGUGAUAAGUUAUCUAUCGCUGAGGACACUGUAAAAGGUGGCCAAGGUAAAUGCAGAUGAACCGCUUCUAAUAGUCCAUUGACUUGGACAAUACUUUUAUGAUCUGAUCUCAAAUCAGGUAGGACUACCCGCUGAACUUAAGC